GGAGGAUCCAGGUCAACACAGAGGUCAACCUACUAGUGCUGUAGGAGGAGGAUCCAGGUCAACACAGAGGUCAACCUACUAGUGCUGUAGGAGGAGGAUCCAGGUCAACACAGAGGUCAACCUACUAGUGCUGUAGGAGGAGGAUCCAGGUCAACACAGAGGUCAACCUACUAGUGCUGUAGGAGGAGGAUCCAGGUCAACACAGAGGUCAACCUACUAGUGCUGUAGGAGGAGGAUCCAGGUCAACACAGAGGUCAACCUACUAGUGCUGUAGGAGGAGGAUCCAGGUCAACACAGAGGUCAACCUACUAGUGCUGUAGGAGGAGGAUCCAGGUCAACACAGAGGUCAACCUACUAGUGCUGUAGGAGGAGGAUCCAGG